UACGUCAGAAAUACCUCAGAGGUGCU
rnacentral:piRNA from 1 species